CCUACGGGGGGCAGCAGUGAGGAAUAUUGGUCAAUGGUCGGGAGACUGAACCAGCCAAGCCGCGUGAGGGAGGAAGGUACAGAGUAUCGUAAACCUCUUUUGUCAGGGAACAAAGACUGGGACGCGUCCCCGGAUGAGUGUACCUGAAGAAAAAGCAUCGGCUAACUCCGUGCCAGCAGCCGCGGUAAUACGGAGGAUGCGAGCGUUAUCCGGAUUUAUUGGGUUUAAAGGGUGCGCAGGCGGUCUGUUAAGUCAGCGGUGAAAGUUUGUGGCUCAACCAUAAAAUGGCCGUUGAAACUGGAAGACUUGAGUGUGUUUGAGGUAGGCGGAAUGCGUGGUGUAGCGGUGAAAUGCAUAGAUAUCACGCAGAACUCCGAUUGCGAAGGCAGCUUACUAGGCCAUAACUGACACUGAGGCACGAAAGCGUGGGGAUCAAACAGGAUUAGAUACCCCAGUAGUC
rnacentral:rRNA from 1 species